AACGAACGCUGGCGGCAGGCUUAACACAUGCAAGUCGAGCGCCCCGCAAGGGGAGCGGCAGACCGGUGAGUAACGCGUGGGAACGUACCCUUUGCUACGGAAUAGCUCCGGGAAACUGGAAUUAAUACCGUAUGUGCCCUACGGGGGAAAGAUUUAUCGGCAAAGGAUCGGCCCGCGUUGGAUUAGCUAGUUGGGGGGGUAAUGGCCUACCAAGGCGACGAUCCAUAGCUGGUCUGAGAGGAUGAUCAGCCACAUGGGGACUGAGACGCGGCCCAAACUCCUACGGGAGGCAGCAGUGGGGAAUAUUGGACAAUGGGCGCAAGCCUGAUCCAGCCAUGCCGCGUGAGUGAUGAAGGCCUUAGGGUUGUAAAGCUCUUUCACCGGAGAAGAUAAUGACGGUACCCGGAGAAGAAGCCCCGGCUAACUUCGUGCCAGCCGCCGCAGUAACAC
rnacentral:rRNA from 1 species